rnacentral:lncRNA from 1 species
GAGUGUUGCGUGUGCGCUCCUCUGUGUUGUUUCCGUGAUAGACGCGUGGGGGGAGUGUUUGGGGGCGGCAAAAGGGGAAAGAAGAAGGCUGGGGAUGCUCCCGCAAUCUCUUUUCUUAUCGCCGACACCUAACCUGACCGACCUAAUUUUUUUUCUAGGAGUGUGUGUGUGUGUGUGUGUGUGUGUCGCAGAAGUCAUUGGUAGUGUUUGGCCAGUGUACUUGUAACACACCUCAUAAAUACCCUGUUGUCACGACACAGCAUGAUUCAACCUUUGAUCUGAUUAAAUUUGAGGGACACACCAAGACUACUUGUCCUCCUCCUACUUACAAAAAUGAGUGUCUAAUAGACUAUGUAUGAAUGUUUCUGCUUCGCAGCUCUU